CUAUGGCUUUUUUUUAUUUUAUUAAAAAUCUCUCUCUCUCUUUCUCUCUCUGAUUCUAUCAGCCUGUGCCAAGAAACCUGUGUAGCGAGCGCCACGAGCUGAGAGGAGAAGAAAAGGGAAGGUGUGAAGAGCGCACGGGAGCGGCACACGGUAGCUCUCCGCUUCUUAUCCUGCGCUUCCUUCGCCGUCUCACCGGAGUCUUCUUCCUAACGCUCUCGCAUUUCUCCCCCAAAGGAAAGUUUCCCAGGAAAAUCCGAUUCGUUCUUCCCUCAUUGCGUUUGUUUCCCUUUUUCGCAUUUUGGCUUCCCGAAUAACUCUGGCGGACUGGUCGUUUCUCGUCGGUUGGGAAUUGUUUCGACGAUUCGGAUUCGCAUUUGAAGAAGAAGAAGACGACGAAGGAGAGGAAGAAGUGGAUUUAUCGACCGUUUCACGAUGCUUUGGAUUAUGAGAUUAUCCUGCUUAUUCUCCGCCGCGUUGACGGUGAUCGUCCUUUCUCCAUCAUUCCAGUCAUUCCCUCCGGCGGAGGCCAUCCGAUCAUCGCAUCUCGACGCUUAUCUCCGACCACCGCCUCCGGUGCAUCACUCCUCAUACCGUUUCUCCUUCAGAAAAUCGCCGGUGUUCCGCAAUGCCGAUGACUGUGGCUCCUCCGGCGCCGAUUCUGGCGUCUGCGACCCCUCACUGGUCCACGUCGCGAUCACUCUCGACGUUGAGUACCUCCGUGGCUCAAUCGCCGCGGUGCAUUCCAUUCUCCAGCAUUCAUUGUGCCCUGAGAGCGUCUUCUUCCAUUUCGUCGUCUCCGAGACAAACCUAGAGCCUCUGGUUCGUUCGACUUUCCCGGAAUUGAAGUUCGAAAUUUACUAUUUCGCUCCCGAGACCGUGCGGGACCUGAUUUCUUCCUCCGUGAGGCAAGCGCUUGAGCAGCCGCUGAAUUACGCCAGAAAUUAUCUGGCGGAUCUGCUUGAGCCCUGCGUCAAAAGAGUCAUCUACUUGGAUUCGGAUCUCGUCGUCGUCGACGAUAUCGCGAAGCUCUGGAGAACGAGUCUGGGCCCGAGAACAAUCGGAGCCCCGGAAUACUGCCACGCGAAUUUCACCAAGUACUUCACCGGGAUUUUCUGGUCGGACGAGCGGUUUUCCGGAACGUUCAAAGGGAGAAACCCCUGCUACUUCAACACGGGAGUAAUGGUGUUGGAUCUGGAGAAGUGGAGGCGGGACGGGUACACGAAACGGAUCGAGAAAUGGAUGGAGAUCCAGAAGGGCGAGCGGAUUUAUGAGCUGGGUUCGCUACCGCCGUUCCUUUUGGUCUUCGCCGGACACGUGGCGCCAAUCUCUCACCGGUGGAACCAGCACGGGCUCGGCGGGGACAAUGUCAGAGGUAGCUGUCGGGAUUUGCAUCCCGGUCCGGUGAGUUUGCUUCAUUGGUCCGGUAGUGGCAAGCCGUGGUUAAGGGUCGACUCGAAGCGGCCGUGUCCGUUGGACGCGCUUUGGGCGCCUUACGACUUGUACCGACACUCGCAUUGACACCGACUCAGGCUGGGUUUUCGUUGCCGGGUUUGUUCAUAAACAGAUGGAUAGGAAGUAGACGAAGUGGCAGUGGCAAGGGGGCAUUGCUUGUAGUAAUCGUGUUUAGAUAGUUCAAACAUGUUUACCAAAAAUGGAGAAGGGGGUGAGGGGAGGGAGGAGACGUGUGUAUAUAUCAUAAUGAUAGAUACAUAGAUAGAGAGAGAUGCAUGAUGAUCGUAGCAUCACAGCUGUGUUGUGAGAGAAGUCUUUUUAAGCUUUGAGACAUUCAAACUCUGUCUCUGUUUCUGUCUGGUAUCAAAAACGUGGGACCCCACGUCUCUUUUGUUGUUUAUAAAAAUGUCCAAAAGCCAACCAGAGAAGGGAGGAGGGGACCGAUUCCGAGGUGGGUCCAGUGAUCUCUCGCAAAAUCCUGUUGCUUGAUCCAGCUGCUAACGUGUGAUGAUCAUUGCCACGAGCAAAGGAUUAGAGAGGAGGAACAUAUAAGAUCCCGACCGAAUGCUUCUGCCGAUGAUGUCGCGGAGGAGGAAGAAGAAAGCUCUGAGCGGCAAGUAAAUAUGGGGAUGGGAUCGGAUGUUGUACGGAACCCGAGAGACACGAUUUGGAUGUUUGGGAAUUAUUUUUUUUUGGUGACCGGAGGUUGGAUCAUUUUUGUUCUUCUGUAACGUUUGGUGGAAGUCAGAGAGUUAGGUUAUUCAUGUGGAUGCCAUUUUUGCUGUUUAUUGUUUUGUUUUUUUAAAAAAAAAAUCAGAUGCAUUGUAUGUGCAA